rnacentral:rRNA from 1 species
CCUACGGGAGGCAGUAGUGGGGAAUAUUGGACAAUGGGGGCAACCCUGAUCCAGCCAUGCCGCGUGUGUGAAGAAGGCCCUCGGGUUGUAAAGCACUUUCAGUGAGGAAGAACGCCUGGUGGUUAAUACCCAUCAGGAAAGACAUCACUCACAGAAGAAGCACCGGCUAACUCCGUGCCAGCAGCCGCGGUAAUACGGAGGGUGCGAGCGUUAAUCGGAAUUACUGGGCGUAAAGCGCGCGUAGGUGGCUUGAUAAGCCGGUUGUGAAAGCCCCGGGCUCAACCUGGGAACGGCAUCCGGAACUGUCAAGCUAGAGUGCAGGAGAGGAAGGUAGAAUUCCCGGUGUAGCGGUGAAAUGCGUAGAGAUCGGGAGGAAUACCAGUGGCGAAGGCGGCCUUCUGGACUGACACUGACACUGAGGUGCGAAAGCGUGGGUAGCAAACAGGAUUAGAUACCCGAGUAGUC